rnacentral:rRNA from 1 species
CCUACGGGUGGCAGCAGUCGAGAAUCUUUCACAAUGGGGGAAACCCUGAUGGUGCGACGCCGCGUGGGGGAAUGAAGGUCUUCGGAUUGUAAACCCCUGUCAUGUGGGAGCAAAUUAAAAAGAUAGUACCACAAGAGGAAGAGACGGCUAACUCUGUGCCUGCGGCCGCGGUAAUACAGAGGUCUCACGCGUUGUUCGGAAUCACUGGGCGUAACGCGUGCGUAGGCUGUUUCGUAGGUCGUGUGAAAGGCGCGGGCUCAACUCGCGGACGGCACAAGAUACUGCGGGACUAGAGUCAAGGAGAGGGAAGCGGAAGUCUCGGUGUAGCAGUGAAAUGCGUAGAUAUCGAGAGGAACACUCGUGGCGAAGGCGGGUUCCUGGACAUUAACUGACGCUGAGGCACGAAGGCCAGGGGAGCGAAAGGGAUUAGAUACCCCGGUAGUC